AGUUUUUUAAGUUAAUUAUAGACUGUUUAUUUUCAAAAUAAAAAGUGACAAAAUUGUCUAAAACUG
rnacentral:tRNA from 1 species